rfam:Endozoicomonas numazuensis strain DSM 25634 scaffold00001, whole genome shotgun sequence.
GUCUCUCUGGUCUGUUUGCCAGUCAUUAAAGACCCGGGCUGAUAAUACCAAACUAGGAAGUUCCUCGUUGAUGCUGGAGCGCAAGUCCACCUUGCAGUGGAAAGCCCGAUUCAUCACAGCAACCUCCACCGUUGCUUAACAGCAACGGGCUUACGUGACAGCGGCAGUUUGGGGAGACU